rnacentral:misc_RNA from 1 species
GUGAAGAACGCAGCGAAAUGCGAUACGUAAUGUGAAUUGCAAAUUCAGUGAAUCAUCGAGUCUUUGAACGCACAUUGCGCCCCCUGGUAUUCCGGGGGGCAUGCCUGUCCGAGCGUCAUUGCUGCCCUCAAGCACGGCUUGUGUGUUGGGCCCCGUCCUCCGAUCCCGGGGGACGGGCCCGAAAGGCAGCGGCGGCACCGCGUCCGGUCCUCGAGCGUAUGGGGCUUUGUCACCCGCUCCGUAGGCCCGGCCGGCGCUUGCCGAUCAACCCAAAUUUUUAUCCAGGUUGACCUCGGAUCAGGUAGGGAUACCCGCUGAACUUAAGCAUAUCAAUAAGCGGAGGA